AUUAACACUAACUUUGGCCAGUAUUUGUGACCAAGUGGCUACUAAAAAAGACUGGACAUACCCCAUUUGAAAUGCCUUGGGUUGUCUACUUUUGCAAAUGGUAUGCCAUCAUGGGGGUAAUUCUCAUUCCUGGGCUACCAUACUGUCUCAAAGGCAACAACCAAUCUGGCGAAUUUCAAUGUGAGAAAACAAAAAAAUGUAACAUGCUUUUUUUGACCCUGUAACUUCCCAAAACACCCUAAAACCUGUACAUAGGGGGUACUGUUUUACACAUGAGACAUCGCUUAAUACAAAUAUGUGUAUUUUAUUGCAGUAAAAGCAAGCAGUAUUAUGACACUCACAUUUAAAAUGAGCUGCAGUAGUGAGUGGUCUAGUGGUUAG